GACGAACGCUGGCGGCGUGCUUAACACAUGCAAGUCGAACGGAAAGGCCCUGCUUUUGUGGGGUGCUCGAGUGGCGAACGGGUGAGUAACACGUGAGUAACCUGCCCUUGACUUUGGGAUAACUUCAGGAAACUGGGGCUAAUACCGGAUAGGAGCUCCUGCUGCAUGGUGGGGGUUGGAAAGUUUCGGCGGUUGGGGAUGGACUCGCGGCUUAUCAGCUUGUUGGUGGGGUAGUGGCUUACCAAGGCUUUGACGGGUAGCCGGCCUGAGAGGGUGACCGGGGAAAAGGGGGCUGCGGUGCGGCCCAGACGGCAACGGGCGGCAGCAGUGGGGGAGCGGGCACAAUGGGCGGGAGGCGGAUGCAGGACCCGCGCGGGGGGGAAGACGGCUUGCGGGUGGUAAAAAGCGUUCGCCCGGGACGAAGCGUGAGGGAAGGUAAGGGGUAAAGAAGCACCGGCUAACUACGUG
rnacentral:rRNA from 1 species